GAUGAACGCUGGCGACGUGCCUAAUACAUGCAAGUCGAACGAAACUUCUUUAUCACCGAGUGCUUGCACUCACCGAUAAAGAGUUGAGUGGCGAACGGGUGAGUAACACGUGGGCAACCUGCCCAAAAGAGGGGGAUAACACUUGGAAACAGGUGCUAAUACCGCAUAACCAUAGUUACCGCAUGGUAACUAUGUAAAAGGUGGCUAUACUACCGCUUUUGGAUGGGCCCGCGGCGCAUUAGCUAGUUGGUAGGGUAAAGGCUUACCAAGGCAAUGAUGCGUAGCCGAAUUGAGAGGUUGAUCGGCCACAUUGGGACUGAGACACGGCCCAAACUCCUACGGGAGGCAGCAGUAGGGAAUCUUCCACAAUGGGCGAAAGCCUGAUGGAGCAACGCCGCGUGGGUGAAGAAGGUCUUCGGAUCGUAAAACCCUGUUGUUAGAGAAGAAAGUGCGUGAGAGUAACUGUUCACGUUUCGACGGUAUCUAACCAGAAAGCCACGGCUAACUACGUG
rnacentral:rRNA from 1 species